UUUUAUGGAGAGUUUGAUCCUGGCUCAGGAUGAACGCUGGCGGCGUGCCUAAUACAUGCAAGUCGAGCGAACGGAUGAGAAGCUUGCUUCUCUGAUGUUAGCGGCGGACGGGUGAGUAACACGUGGAUAACCUACCUAUAAGACUGGGAUAACUUCGGGAAACCGGAGCUAAUACCGGAUAAUAUUUUGAACCGCAUGGUUCAAAAGUGAAAGACGGUCUUGCUGUCACUUAUAGAUGGAUCCGCGCUGCAUUAGCUAGUUGGUAAGGUAACGGCUUACCAAGGCAACGAUGCAUAGCCGACCUGAGAGGGUGAUCGGCCACACUGGAACUGAGACACGGUCCAGACUCCUACGGGAGGCAGCAGUAGGGAAUCUUCCGCAAUGGGCGAAAGCCUGACGGAGCAACGCCGCGUGAGUGAUGAAGGUCUUCGGAUCGUAAAACUCUGUUAUUAGGGAAGAACAUAUGUGUAAGUAACUGUGCACAUCUUGACGGUACCUAAUCAGAAAGCCACGGCUAACUACGUGCCAGCAGCCGCGGUAAUACGUAGGUGGCAAGCGUUAUCCGGAAUUAUUGGGCGUAAAGCGCGCGUAGGCGGUUUUUUAAGUCUGAUG
rnacentral:rRNA from 1 species